rnacentral:misc_RNA from 1 species
AUACUGAUGACACGCAUAAGCGGUAUAACAGUUUUGGGAAAGUAAAUCUUGUAGUUUUACGACCGCAUGUCGAGGGAAUCCCCGAUUUUUCCCUUCUCCCUUCCCAAACAAAAAAGUCUACCUGCUUGCUAUGAAGGGUGCGCUCGUACUACAUUCAAUCGUGUUCAACGACCCAGUACAUUGGGUACAAGUAGUCUUGGCAAUAGGUAAUAGCUCUGGAAAAUGCCCACCUACCAGGAAGUGUGACAGGUAAUUCCACACCCACCAGAAGUGCGAGAUAAGAGGUUGAGUGUUAUGUUGUAUCAUAUCAACGCUGCAUAACUUCAUGUAUUUACUUUCUUGUACACGCAGUAGACGGAAACAUUAUCAAGAACACGCGGACUGUGGCUCACAAGGCUGACAGAAAGACAGGAGCUCAGUACUAGUUCUUAUGAUGACUUUCGAUGAGGUAGUUGACAAGCAAAGAGUUAAACCCGAAUACCACUGAGCGGCAAAUAUCAUCCAACAGAAAUGUCCCUGGACGGAGAACAUUUACACAUUUCCAAUGGCAGCAGUGAGGAGAGUUCAGUGUCCAGUUCAAGCACGAGUGAAGAAACUGUCUCGUCUGGACAUGUUGGUGACAGAGACAUGACUCAGGAUUCAAACAGCCACACGUCAGAUCCACGAGACUGCGGUCUGGGAGGAACUGUGAGACAUCGGAGACCUAUGCCGCCUCCAGACACCCACAGCAUAAUCCUAGAAAUAGGUAGCACAAACAGUACAAUAAGUACGCUCUCUUCUCUCUACCGCCCGUCAUUUCCACUGGAUCGUAAUGGGUUUAUCAACAUGGCCACCAUGGAUAUCCCCAAUGAGGGUUCGGCUGAGGGUGUACGAGUUAAAUAUGACCUCCUACGUCCUAAUGACACAAGCUAUGAAGCAACUUUACUUGACCUGCUAAAUGAUUUGGAGAAAGAUUGUAGCGCUAAAAGAAGACCUCAGAUAAUCAAGUUACUUCAAGUUGACAGACUUCCAUACUUCGCCAGGCACAAAAUGCUGAGAGAAAUUUCAGAGUGUCUGAAAGUGGAUGAUCAUGCCGUGCAGAAAAAUGCAUGUUCUCAUCUUGAAGAGUUGAUCCUGCAACUCCAACGGAGCAAUGACGACUCGGUGACUGAAAGCAUGUUGAAAGCAGCAGAGAUGUCGAUGACAGUAUUGAGGACGAAAAGAAACGACGACGACCAGGUACAAAAUUUAUGUAGUCUUCACCUGAUGGCGGUGGCGGCCAUCUUCACUCGCUGCAAGAAGCCAGACUUGGAAAGGUGUUCUUCCUUCAUCUUGUCAUCCAAAGACACAAGCAAGUCCAUUAACGGCGGAAUGAAGCAAGUCGUCUUCAAAUCUGUCCGUCACUUUUACGAGCGAUUCAGUGACGAGGUCGAGGAACUGUCAUCAUUUCCGGUUGGACUCGGCUGGCCUCCAGUCAGGCUGAAUGCAACAAAUUCAAAGACAAAGCCAGCCGCGCUUCAUUCUUCAAACUUGUUCUGUACUCGUUUUCGCUCUUGAACGGGGUGGCGCGCAAGGGCUGGAGGCCCGUGAGCAUUGAACUACUGGCCAUACUGAAGUCCCUCUACCAGGCCGCAGUGGUGGGAUCUGGCAAGCAAAAGAUGAGUCACGAAUGUAGAAGUAUGUUCGACUUUUUCCUCGUCCGCGGCCUCGUUGUCCUCCUCAAUACCACGUUUGUAGAGGACAAAGAGUCAGUCGGAGACAGCCAGAAUGAGCAUCCGGAGCGCAUUUCUGAGCUUAUUACAGAAGUGAUCGUGAACUGCAAGUAUGGUACAGAAUAUAGACAGCGCCUUCUGAGAGAGGUGCGAGGACCCACGUUUCACAAAGUGACUCGAGUCCGUCAGACAUUCAACAUUCUUCACAGGACUGACGAGACACACCUGAAAGACCUCGCUCACGGCCAUAUUGAACAGAGUCUACGAGGAUUUGGUUUUUGGUUUGAUGACACGAGGCGAGCUAAAGGUAAGGACGACAAUUGUGUACAAGAAAUGUGUAACUGGUUCACCAGCCCCUGCAAGCUCAGCGGCACCAAGGCAGACUGCACCAUGUAUGUGCCCACAAUAAACUGCAUCAUGAAGGAAGAUUUUAACAUCGGAACGUGUCUAAAGAAACAUCCGGUCCAUGAGUCUGCGGCGAUUUCCAUGAGACACAAACGAAACCUCGAUCUGCUGCAACAGUUGAGUCCCAAGAGCGAGCAUGUCUUGAAACUUCUGGCCUACCAGUACAAACCCUUCCCCUUCUACAUCACUGAAGCUGUGGAGGAAGAAGAUCGUCUCUUAUCUUAUCUCCGUUUGCUCAGAAGGGAGGGUUACUGGCUGUCUAUAGAAACUAUGAUCAAAAUCUUGCUUCAGAUCACAGACAUUCUCAUUCUGCUGGAAAAGGAUGGUUUGGUCACGCGGGAUCUGACCUGCUACAACUUGGUUGUCAGAGAAAAAUCGAGAAGUCGGUCAAGAAAUUCAAGGCGCGAAGUCUUAAGGGCUCGUGAGGAGUUCGCCAUUCAGUUAGCUGACCUGAGUCUCAUCGAUGAGUACAGAACGACGAAAAUAUUUGCGUUGUGCGAGAUCACGGGCCAGUACCUGUGAGGUGGACAGCACCAGAAGCCCUGUUUGAGGGCCGCUACUCCCCCAAGUCCGCCACGUGGGCGCUGGGUUGUGUGAUGUACGAGAUCGCCACCUAUGGCUGUGAGCCCUACACCAGCUACAGCAGCAUGACGACAGAAGAAAUCUUA